rnacentral:rRNA from 1 species
AUACGGAGGGUGCAAGCGUUAAUCGGAAUUACUGGGCGUAAAGCGCACGCAGGCGGUCUGUUAAGUCAGAUGUGAAAUCCCCGGGCUUAACCUGGGAACUGCAUUUGAAAUGGGCAGGCUUGAGUCUCGUAGAGGGGGGUAGAAUUCCAGGUGUAGCGGUGAAAUGCGUAGAGAUCUGGAGGAAUACCGGUGGCGAAGGCGGCCCCCUGGACGAAGACUGACGCUCAGGUGCGAAAGCGUGGGGAGCAAACAGGAUUAGAUACCCUGGUAGUCCACGCCGUAAACGAUGUCGACUUGGAGGUUGUGCCCUUGAGGCGUGGCUUCCGGAGCUAACGCGUUAAGUCGACCGCCUGGGGAGUACGGCCGCAAGGUUAAAACUCAAAUGAAUUGACGGGGGCCCGCACAAGCGGUGGAGCAUGUGGUUUAAUUCGAUGCAACGCGAAGAACCUUACCUGGCCUUGACAUCCAGAGAACUUAGCAGAGAUGCUUUGGUGCCUUCGGGAACUC